UGGGCAGGAUGUUCUUGGUGAUCCCACUUUGAGUCAGGCGCAUCAGGGGGCGCUAGUAUAAAUAGUAGCGGCCAUCUGCGCAUCCCCUAAUCCGCGUACCUGUUGUCAUCUCCUUUCGGUCACCUGACUUCCCCCGGUGUUGCAGAUCUCACCCGCGGAUACCUUCUUGAAGCCUCCAUUGUGGCUGAUGCAGAGGGCCUGACGUGGAGGAGACUGGGGUGCCUUGGUGGUGGGAUCCUUUGAGUAUUACACACCUGCGUUUUUCAGUCGUAUUAGUGUGAGUGUAUGAUAGUGUGCUGCACUUGUGUAUUGGUGAGUUUUCCUUUUUUU